UGUGGCUUAAUUUGACUCAACGCGGGAAAUCUUACCGGGUCCGGACACACUGAGGAUUGACAGGCAAUAUAUGUGACUCUUCGGAGUUUGCAUUGUUAAAUAUGCUAGUCCUUUCAUGAUUAUGUGAUAGGUGGUGCAUGGCCGUUCUUAGUUCGUGGAGUGAUCUGUCUGCUUAAUUGCGUUUCAAAUUACUUAUAAGGUAGCAAUACGCGAUGAAGCUUUCAAUAGUCCUCACGGAUUCACUUGAGUCUCUCGCUUCGCUAUCCUUUCGAAUGCAACGAACGUGACCGCAACCUCUUGUUGCCUUCGUUUAACAUCCUGCAGCUCGCUGUGGGUACUGAGGGCUUCACUCGGUGACUUUGGGCUGAGCAAUCGGUCUUUUUGAUCUGAGUAAACUAGAGGGACCGCUGUCAAUUUUUAAACCAGAGGAAGGUUGCGGCAAUAACAGGUCUGGG
rnacentral:rRNA from 1 species